CCCAUUUUUUUAUCAUGUGUGCAUAAAA
rnacentral:piRNA from 2 species